UACGAAGGGGGCUAGCGUUGCUCGGAAUGACUGGGCGUAAAGGGCGCGUAGGCGGAUGGCACAGUCAGAUGUGAAAUUCCCGGGCUUAACCUGGGGGCUGCAUUUGAUACGUGUGAUCUAGAGUGAGGAAGAGGGUCGUGGAAUUCCCAGUGUAGAGGUGAAAUUCGUAGAUAUUGGGAAGAACACCGGUGGCGAAGGCGGCGACCUGGUCCUUGACUGACGCUAAGACGCGAAAGCGUGGGGAGCAAACAGG
rnacentral:rRNA from 1 species